rnacentral:rRNA from 1 species
GACAGAGGGUGCAAACGUUGUUCGGAAUUACUGGGCGUAAAGCGCGUGUAGGCGGUUAUGCAAGUCGGGUGUGAAAGCCCCGGGCUCAACCCGGGAAGUGCAUUCGAUACUGCGUAGCUAGAGUACUGGGGAGGAUGGUGGAACUCUCGGUGUAGAGGUGAAAUUCGUAGAUAUCGAGAGGAACACCGGUGGCGAAGGCGGCCAUCUGGACAGAUACUGACGCUGAGGCACGAAAGCGUGGGGAGCAAACAGG